AAGUGUGGAUAUGGUCUAGCCACCCAUACAGAUAUGCAGCAUUUUACGCAGGUUUAUUGUUUCCAUUUAAUGGCAGUAUGAAAUAGCCUAUCGAUUUAACUUGUCCUAUUUCAACUUUGGCCAAGAUUGGAUUUUUAAACGAGCUGGGUUGGGUGCCGCCUGGGAGCAGAGGAUCACAGGGACUGUGUGACUCGCAGGUCGGAGUGCGCAAAGCAACGCGACCCGUGAUUCAUCCGCAGUUUCCAGACGGUGCGCAGGUGGAGGCGAGGCGAAGAGGAGAGGAAGCAGCCGCUCAGGACGGACGGAUGAAACGAGCAGGGAUGUUCAAUACGCGCAAGAUUUAUUCCAUCUAAAGGAACACACUGUUUUUUUUUUUCCUCCACCGCUAUAGAUUUGGAACCACUGUAUUGCUUUGGCUCAGCUGUAACCCAUUUCUCCUCCAUGACAAAAGUUUGACUGUUAAAAAAUGAUGCUCUGCUCCGCUACUGUUUUUUCAUGCAUUGCUGUGGAUUCCGGCGUCAGCGCAAGUGGCCAGUCAUCACUUGAGAAACAGCUGCGAUUCUUUCGGUCUUAAUUUGCGGUGCCAAUUUCAGCAAACAGAGGGCUUUUUUUCUUGCUCAUCAUCGCUCGACCGGGAUUGCAUCCAUUUGAAUUAUUGUCGCACUCCGUUCCAUAAUGGACUUCCUCGGACUGUACUUCUUACAGCUGGCUCUUAUCGGAGUCCCACGUCUGGCGCUCUCUUCAGGCGGGAGGGACUGCCUGCGCGCUGGAGACACCUGCUCCACCGACGACACCUGCAGCCCGCGACUGCGCACCCUCCGGCAGUGUGUGGCGGGGGACGGCAGUGUGAAGCUGGGGCCCGGGGCGCGGAACCAAUGUGAGAACGCCAUGACGGCGCUGCUGUCCACUCCUUUGCACGGCUGCCAAUGUAAACGAGGCAUGAAGAAGGAGAAGAACUGCCUGAGUAUCUACUGGAGUCUGCAUCAGUCCGUGCUGCACGGACUCAGCCUGGUGGAUAACUACCCGUAUGAACCAGAGGAGAGGGGCUCCGACUAUGUCCGUCUGGCCUCCAUCGCUGCAGAGUCCGAAGUAACGACGGUGAACCGCUGCCUGGAUGCUGCCAAGGCGUGCAAUAUAGAUGAGACGUGUCAGAAGCUUCGUACGGAAUAUGUCUCAUCCUGCAUCCAGCCGUCAGCCCGCUCAGGGCCGUGUAACCGACCAAAGUGCAACAAGGCGCUGAGGAAGUUCUUUGACCGCGUUCCCCCUGACUACACCCACGAGCUGCUGUUCUGUCCCUGCACUGACACGGCCUGCGCAGAGCGCCGCAGGCAAACUAUCGUGCCGUCCUGCUCCUACGAAGACAAGGACAAGCCCAACUGCCUGGCCCAGCUGCGGAUCUGCAAAGCAGACUAUGUGUGCAGGUCUCGCUGGGCACAGUUCCAGUAUGAUUGCCAACCUUCCGAGCAGAGUGCUAGUGGCUGCAAGCAAGAGAACUACGGAGCAUGUCUACUCGCGUACACUGGCCUGAUAGGAAGCACAAUAACUCCCAACUACCUUGACAACUCCACAUCCAACGUGGGACCCUGGUGCUCGUGCGCAGCGAGCGGCAAUCACAGGGAACAAUGCACCGACUUCCUCACUUCCUUCAACGACAACGUCUGCCUGAGAAAUGCAAUCCUGGCCUUCGGGAACGGAUCGGAUGAGAAAACGGGCGCCAGCCAGCCCGGUAUGCCCAGUGUGGCGAUGGACAACCAGAGCCCACACUUGGCAACCACUGCCCCGGGCGUCUCCAUGGAAACAGAGCAGAACAUUCUAAGAGCACAGAUACCUACUCAGGCAAACGAGAACGACAGAUUGUGGGGCGACGAGGGAGACUCCGCUCUUCCCUCUCCGGGCCUGUCGGACCGCGGAGUCGAACCUCUCCGCCUGUCCCUGCUGCUGGGCCUCGGGUGGCUGCUCCUGCUGCUGCUCUCCGACCAAUAAGAGGCCUCGCUCACCUGGCCUCCACUGACAAAACUCCAGACCUGGGGGGAGGGGUUGGUGUGUGUGAGAGAGAAAGAAACAGCCAUUCUAUGUGUCAAAUGAUAGUGGGGAAAAGGGUCGACUGUCUCAAGAAUCACACUUUAUCUCUUUUUGUAAAUCAUGACUCAGAGCAGAUGUGGGGGGAACCAGGAAGUACACACCUCAUUUCUUGCUUCACGCCUGCCCAAAUAAACUCUUACACAACACACAUGCAGACUUUGCUCAUACGAAAAUAACGUCCAAGCUACAGAAGGGCCCGUGGGCUCAGGUGUACAGUGAAGAGACACUGAAGAUGCAGUGUGGGAAAAACUCUAAAAAAAAUAAAUAAAAAAUCUUUUGUCCCUGAACACUUCUUGAUGUUAAAGAAAAAAUAUUACAUGUUAAGACUUUUGUCUCAGAUAAACUGUGAUAAAGUGUUACACGAAAUUUAAGGUGGAUGUGUGUUUGUCCACAUGCAGCACUCUACUUCUUGUUCUUUAUUUUGAUCCCACAUUUUGUUAAUUUUGUUUAAUUAAGAUGUAAUUUUGUUACCGAGAAUGUUAGAUGGAAGUACAUUAUCGAGUCAAAUCGCAAUUAAAUUCUUUGACUGUUGUGUUUUAAGUUGCAGGAUAAACAGCUCAUUUCCAAAUAAAGAAUAUAUAUAGAAAAAAAAUGUAUUGAAAUUUAACAUUCAAAUAAGAUCUCCCAAAGUCUUUCAAAGUGUUUUAUUUUGUCAAACAAGGAACUAUAUUACUUAUUAGCUUUUAGCGUAUUGUAUAUUGUUUUAAUUUUAAAAGCUCUAAAAGCAUUUUGUAUGAGUAGAUGUCACUUUUCGAAAAUGGUGAUUACCUCGCUUUGAAAGGGGACUCCUCAUAUAUUCAUUCAUUUAGCUUUAAGUGUUAGGGCUUGACAAACAUUUGGGUUUGUUCCUCUUAAGGAACAUAAAAAACAUGGUUUUGGUGACGCCAAAAGAUGGAAACAAGUCUAUAUUUUUUAACUGUGUGUGGACUUUGCCGCAGAGAAAAUAGAUAUCUCCAAGUUUGUGACCAAUCGUGCUCUGCCGCUGCGCAAGGACUGGUGGGAAAACAGAUGGUGUGGGUUUUGAUGCAUAACCGGAUGCAUAUGUCUUUCGAGGGACUUGUGAGAUGAAGGUGGUUACCCGUGUUGGCCCGCUCCAGAAGAUUUACAAUAUGUACUGUGAAAGCGCAGCUUUGCUCUGUGAAGCAGACACGUCUAUGAAAAGUGUUGAGAUCGAGGUUGGUUAGCUGCAGAGGCUCCCAACGAGGAAUGUGUCAUCUUCAAUACUGCCAUUGAAAUCAAUUAUCUGAAGAAACGCCCAUUUGUUUCAUUGCAUUAUGAAAUUACACAACAUGUGCCGACUUCAACACCGAGACAGAAAACGUGUUGCUCUGAGCUACAAGCAGACCAGAUAAAAAUGACACAUUCUAGCUUAAGUUGGACCUAAAACUAAGCUCCUAAUAUUGUUAAUUCUUCCUCACUGAUGUCCGUGUUGUUUUGAAAUGAGAGCCCAAAUGGGUUUAACAGGGUUUUAAGGACCUAUCUUCUGGUACUGAGACAUGGAGAUAUUUUGGGUUUUAUUUGCCAAGGUUUUGUCAUUCUCUGAGAUUGCUGCUGCCAUCCAAAUACAAUAAACAUUUUUUUCUUUGGAAAGAC